rnacentral:rRNA from 1 species
GAGCUUGCUCCUCUGAUUUAGCGGCGGACGGGUGAGUAACACGUGGGUAAUCUGCCUGUAAGACGGGGAUAACUCCGGGAAACCGGGGCUAAUACCGGAUAAUAAGAAGAAACGCAUGUUUCUUUUUUGAAAGUCGGUUUCGGCUGACACUUACAGAUGAGCCCGCGGCGCAUUAGCUAGUUGGUGAGGUAACGGCUCACCAAGGCGACGAUGCGUAGCCGACCUGAGAGGGUGAUCGGCCACACUGGGACUGAGACACGGCCCAGACUCCUACGGGAGGCAGCAGUAGGGAAUCUUCGGCAAUGGGCGAAAGCCUGACCGAGCAACGCCGCGUGAGCGAUGAAGGCCUUCGGGUCGUAAAGCUCUGUUGUUAGAGAAGAACAAGUACGAGAGUAACUGCUCGUACCUUGACGGUACCUAACCAGAAAGCCACGGCUAACUACGUGCCAGCAGCCGCGGUAAUACGUAGGUGGCAAGCGUUAUCCGGAAUUAUUGGGCGUAAAGCGCGCGCAGGCGGUCUCUUAAGUCUGAUGUGAAAGCCCACGGCUCAACCGUGGAGGGUCAUUGGAAACUGGGAGACUUGAGUGCAGGAGAGAAAAGUGGAAUUCCACGUGUAGCGGUGAAAUGCGUAGAGAUGUGGAGGAACACCAGUGGCGAAGGCGGCUUUUUGGCCUGUAACUGACGCUGAGGCGCGAAAGCGUGGGGAGCAAACAGGAUUAGAUACCCUGGUAGUCCACGCCGUAAACGAUGAGUGCUAGGUGUUGGGGGGUUCCACCCUCAGUGCUGAAGUUAACACAUUAAGCACUCCGCCUGGGGAGUACGACCGCAAGGUUGAAACUCAAAGGAAUUGACGGGGGCCCGCACAAGCAGUGGAGCAUGUGGUUUAAUUCGAAGCAACGCGAAGAACCUUACCAGGUCUUGACAUCCUUUGACCACUCUAGAGAUAGAGCUUUCCCCUUCGGGGGACAAAGUGACAGGUGGUGCAUGGUUGUCGUCAGCUCGUGUCGUGAGAUGUUGGGUUAAGUCCCGCAACGAAAGCCGCAACCCCUUGACCUUAAGGUUGCCAGGCCAUUCAGUUUUGGGCCACUUCUAAGGUGACCUUGCCGGUGACCAAAACCGGAGGGGAAGGGUGGGGAUGACGUCAAAUCAUCAUGCCCCUUAUG